rnacentral:tRNA from 1 species
CGCCCAUAGCUCAGCUGGUUAGAGCAGUCGACUCAUAAUCGAUUAGUCGUAGGUUCAAGUCCUACUGGGCCCACCA